UACAGAGGGUGCUAGCGUUGUUCGGAAUCAUUGGGCGUAAAGGGCGUGUAGGCGGUUGUGUAAGUCCGAUGUUAAAGCCCCUGGCUCAACUGGGGGAGGUCAUUGGAGACUACUCGACUUGAGGGCAACAGAGGCACGUGGAACUCCCGGUGUAGCGGUGGAAUGCGUAGAGAUCGGGAAGAACACCAGUGGCGAAGGCGACGUGCUGGGUUGCAACUGACGCUGAGAUGCGAAAGCCAGGGGAGCGAACGGG
rnacentral:rRNA from 1 species